GAUGAACGCUGGCGGCGUGCCUAAUACAUGCAAGUCGAGCGAACAGACGAGGAGCUUGCUCCUUUGACGUUAGCGGCGGACGGGUGAGUAACACGUGGGUAACCUACCUAUAAGACUGGGAUAACUUCGGGAAACCGGAGCUAAUACCGGAUAAUAUUUCGAACCGCAUGGUUCGAUAGUGAAAGAUGGCUUUGCUAUCACUUAUAGAUGGACCUGCGCCGUAUUAGCUAGUUGGUAAGGUAACGGCUUACCAAGGCAACGAUACGUAGCCGACCUGAGAGGGUGAUCGGCCACACUGGAACUGAGACACGGUCCAGACUCCUACGGGAGGCAGCAGUAGGGAAUCUUCCGCAAUGGGCGAAAGCCUGACGGAGCAACGCCGCGUGAGUGAUGAAGGUCUUCGGAUCGUAAAACUCUGUUAUUAGGGAAGAACAAACGUGUAAGUAACUGUGCACGUCUUGACGGUACCUAAUCAGAAAGCCACGGCUAACUACGUGCCCGCAGCCGCGGUAAUACGUAGGUGGCAAGCGUUAUCCGGAAUUAUUGGGCGUAAUGCGCGCGUAGGCGGUUUUUUAAGUCUGAUGUGAAAGCCCACGGCUCAACCGUGGAGGGUCAUUGGAAACUGGAAAACUUGAGUGCAGAAGAGGAAAGUGGAAUUCCAUGUGUAGCGGUGAAAUGCGCAGAGAUAUGGAGGAACACCAGUGGCGAAGGCGACUUUCUGGUCUGUAACUGACGCUGAUGUGCGAAAGCGUGGGGAUCAAACAGGAUUAGAUACCCUGGUAGUCCACGCCGUAAACGAUGAGUGCUAAGUGUUAGGGGGUUUCCGCCCCUUAGUGCUGCAGCUAACGCAUUAAGCACUCCGCCUGGGGAGUACGACCGCAAGGUUGAAACUCAAAGGAAUUGACGGGGACCCGCACAAGCGGUGGAGCAUGUGGUUUAAUUCGAAGCAACGCGAAGAACCUUACCAAAUCUUGACAUCCUUUGACCCUUCUAGAGAUAGAAGUUUCCCCUUCGGGGGACAAAGUGACAGGUGGUGCAUGGUUGUCGUCAGCUCGUGUCGUGAGAUGUUGGGUUAAGUCCCGCAACGAGCGCAACCCUUAAGCUUAGUUGCCAUCAUUAAGUUGGGCACUCUAAGUUGACUGCCGGUGACAAACCGGAGGAAGGUGGGGAUGACGUCAAAUCAUCAUGCCCCUUAUGAUUUGGGCUACACACGUGCUACAAUGGACAAUACAAAGGGCAGCGAAACCGCGAGGUCAAGCAAAUCCCAUAAAGUUGUUCUCAGUUCGGAUUGUAGUCUGCAACUCGACUACAUGAAGCUGGAAUCGCUAGUAAUCGUAGAUCAGCAUGUUACGGUGAAUACGUUCCCGGGUCU
rnacentral:rRNA from 1 species